CGGGUGCUAUACAUGCAAGUCGAGCGGACAGAAGGGAGCUUGCUCCCGGAUGUUAGCGGCGGACGGGUGAGUAACACGUGGGUAACCUGCCUGUAAGACUGGGAUAACUCCGGGAAACCGGAGCUAAUACCGGAUAGUUCCUUGAACCGCAUGGUUCAAGGAUGAAAGACGGUUUCGGCUGUCACUUACAGAUGGACCCGCGGCGCAUUAGCUAGUUGGUGAGGUAACGGCUCACCAAGGCGACGAUGCGUAGCCGACCUGAGAGGGUGAUCGGCCACACUGGGACUGAGACACGGCCCAGACUCCUACGGGAGGCAGCAGUAGGGAAUCUUCCGCAAUGGACGAAAGUCUGACGGAGCAACGCCGCGUGAGUGAUGAAGGUUUUCGGAUCGUAAAGCUCUGUUGUUAGGGAAGAACAAGUGCAAGAGUAACUGCUUGCACCUUGACGGUACCUAACCAGAAAGCCACGGCUAACUACGUGCCAGCAGCCGCGGUAAUACGUAGGUGGCAAGCGUUGUCCGGAAUUAUUGGGCGUAAAGGGCUCGCAGGCGGUUUCUUAAGUCUGAUGUGAAAGCCCCCGGCUCAACCGGGGAGGGUCAUUGGAAACUGGGAAACUUGAGUGCAGAAGAGGAGAGUGGAAUUCCACGUGUAGCGGUGAAAUGCGUAGAGAUGUGGAGGAACACCAGUGGCGAAGGCGACUCUCUGGUCUGUAACUGACGCUGAGGAGCGAAAGCGUGGGGAGCGAACAGGAUUAGAUACCCUGGUAGUCCACGCCGUAAACGAUGAGUGCUAAGUGUUAGGGGGUUUCCGCCCCUUAGUGCUGCAGCUAACGCAUUAAGCACUCCGCCUGGGGAGUACGGUCGCAAGACUGAAACUCAAAGGAAUUGACGGGGGCCCGCACAAGCGGUGGAGCAUGUGGUUUAAUUCGAAGCAACGCGAAGAACCUUACCAGGUCUUGACAUCCUCUGACAACCCUAGAGAUAGGGCUUUCCCUUCGGGGACAGAGUGACAGUGGUGCAUGGGUUGUCGUCAGCUCGUGUC
rnacentral:rRNA from 1 species